AAUGUACUCCCUCCGUUCGGAAUUACUUGUCACAGAAAUGGGUGUAUCUAGACGUAUUUUAGUUCUAGAUACAUCCAUUUCCGAGACAAGUAAUUCCGAACGGAGGGAGUACUAA
rnacentral:pre_miRNA from 1 species